AGUCCUAACACAUGCAAGUCGAGCGGAAACGAUGGGAGCUUGCUCCCAGGCGUCGAGCGGCGGACGGGUGAGUAACACGUGGGAAUCUGCCCAUUAGUGGGGGAUAACUCGGGGAAACUCGAGCUAAUACCGCAUAAUCCCUACGGGGGAAAGCAGGGGAUCUUCGGACCUUGCGCUGAUGGAUGAGCCCGCGUCGGAUUAGCUUGUUGGUGGGGUAAUGGCCCACCAAGCUGACGAUCCGUAACUGGUCUGAGAGGAUGGCCAGUCACACCGGGACUGAGACACGGCCCGGACUCCUACGGGAGGCAGCAGUGGGGAAUCUUGGACAAUGGGCGCAAGCCUGAUCCAGCCAUGCCGCGUGUGUGAAGAAGGCCUUCGGGUUGUAAAGCCCUUUCAGUAGGGAGGAAGGCUUUGGGCUAAUACCCUGGAGUACUUGACGUUACCUACAGAAGAAGCACCGGCUAAUUUCGUGCCAGCAGCCGCGGUAAUACGAAAGGUGCGAGCGUUAAUCGGAAUUACUGGGCGUAAAGCGCGCGUAGGCGGUGUGUUAAGUCGGAUGUGAAAGCCCAGGGCUCAACCUUGGAAUGGCAUCCGAUACUGGCACGCUAGAGUGCAGUAGAGGGAGGUGGAAUUUCCGGUGUAGCGGUGAAAUGCGUAGAGAUCGGAAGGAACACCAGUGGCGAAGGCGGCCUCCUGGACUGACACUGACGCUGAGGU
rnacentral:rRNA from 1 species